GAUGAACGCUGGCGGCGUGCCUAAUACAUGCCAGUCGAGCGAACGGACGAGAAGCUUGCUUCUCUGAUGUUAGCGGCGGACGGGUGAGUAACACGUGGAUAACCUACCUAUAAGACUGGGAUAACUUCGGGAAACCGGAGCUAAUACCGGAUAAUAUUUUGAACCGCAUGGUUCAAAAGUAAAAGACGGUCUUGCUGUCACUUAUAGAUGGAUCCCCGCUGCAUUAGCUAGUUGGUAAGGUAACGGCUUACCAAGGCAAGGAUGCAUAGCCGACCUGAGAGGGUGAUCGGCCACACUGGAGCUGAGACACGGUCCAGACUCCUACGAGACGCAGCAGUAGGGAACGUUCCGCAGUGGGCGAAAGCCUGACGGAGCAACGCCGCGUGAGUGAUGAAGGUCUUCGGAUCGUAAAACUCUGUUAUUAGGGGAGAACAUAUGUGUAAGUAACUGUGCACAUCUUGACGGUACCUAAUCAGAAAGCCACGGCUAACUACGUG
rnacentral:rRNA from 1 species